rnacentral:misc_RNA from 1 species
CAAGUUUCUCAAAAGUCAAGGCGCAGCUGGGAGCUAGCUACAAACCCUGUUUUGUAAUUGUGAACUUAUCAGAACUGCAGUUGCCAUAAUGGUGAAAUUAAAUGAUUGUGGAAAUAGAUGAAGGUGGACGGUUCUCAUAUUAAUGGGCAUAUGGCAUAUACUGACGGAAGGGAACCAAUGGAGCUCUUCUCCUCCUCCUCCUUAUCUUACCCAGGAAAAGGGGAAAUUUAUUUUUCUUAUUCACCCAAUUUGAAAAAUCAUGGUUCGCCUAAAUUUUUUUUUUAUUGUCAUAACACAUCAAAAAGUUUAG